UCUUGACCACGUUCCUUCCGAUCUGCAUACUUAGCUUAAACGAACGCACCAUGACUGAACUUGGCAACGCUCACCAAACGAACGCACCAUGACCAACGCAGCGAGCUGUCAAAAAUUUUCACUUGCGUGCGUGUUCAAUCACGUUGGUGGUGGCCGCGGAUUUAUUUGAGAUUUUCAACGUGGGUCAAGUAGUGUGUGAUUGUGAAAAAGGAUCCUCUGUCGUUUAAUCGUGCGGGUGGCCGUACCGGAACAGCUCCUAAAUGGCGGAAUGAGCAAAUCUGGGCGCUCGUUUUGGAAAAGAAGGCCCGGCUCCAGCUGCGGACUUUCCCGGCCGCCGUCAUGACGUUCCGGGUGUUGGUUCUGCCGAGUGACGGACCAGGGGACUAUUUCGAUCGUGGAUUAAGGAUGAGCCAAGUAAUGCUGCCGGG